GAUGGCCCUGCCAGAGAAGGAAGAUGAAGUUUGCCGCGGGCAGGCUGUGUGGGACCUCUGGCUGGGAUGCGUGCGGGUGGUUACCAAGCCCGCCCUUCGCUCGCCACGGCUGACUUUCCCGCCGGAGCCGGCGCCGGGGCGCCUGGUCCCCGCGCUGCACCCGGCGCCGGUCUGGAGAUAGCCCUUGGCUGUGGGCGGCGGGAGUCCCCCUGAAAGUGCGCCUUUUCGCCGCCGGGACUUAGCUGCUGGGGAGCGAGCGCGCCGAGUGCGCACUGCGUCGAUCCACUCCGCCCGGACCGGGGGUACCCACCCGAGCCUGCUCCCCGAGGCCUCGGGUUCGAAGCCUCUCCCGUGGCGGAGGAGAGGUUGGGAUUUGAGCAGCGGCCGUUCGGUUAAGGAAGGAGUUUCUGAAACUCUCAGGAAAGCGAAGUCCCGGGGCGUGGAAAAUAAUCGAGCCGACGCUCUCCCGGCCACAGAGGGAAAGAAAACAAACAAGAAAUUAGCGGGGGACGCUGCGCACAGAGCGAGACGCCCGCCUCUACGCCGUCGAGGACGCAAAAGAACGAAAAAAGUUAUUAAAGUUUGGAUCCCCCCAAUUAAUUCGUCUCUGCUCGCCCAUUUUUAAUUAAACAUCGCGAAGCUGC